UUAGGUUUGUACAUGAUGGCUAAUGGUUUCAUUUAUGCUGAUUAAUCUGCAGGUCUCCGAACACAUCCCGCUAAAAUAAUUCCUCCGUGGGCAAGAACAGCGUGAAUCUCACACCGAUGAGGCUACAUUUUUCGGGCAUUUCUUAUUCAAAACGUUUGACCCUGGCUUAAAUAAGACUCGCGGUUGUCAAAGAAUGCUCGGCCAGGCGUUCGUGCUGUUUCGUGCGAGACAGAGGGACAAAAUAACCCCGCUGGCAUGCGGUUGCCAGGAUCUGCCAAACCAGAGGAGACAACAGGCCAAGUGAGAUGACGGAGUGAGCAGCAGAGAGGCUGCAGAAUAUUCUACCCAAUUGGCAGUAAUCACAAAUGAUGGCAAUUGGACGCAUCUCCUCAGAUUUACAGCUUGCAACUGAGAACACGAUUAAAUUUGGUUUGAUGUCAUUCCCAGACCCCAUAUUUGAA